CCUACGGGAGGCAGCAGUGGGGGAUAUUGGACAAUGGGGGGAACCCUGAUCCAGCGACGCCGCGUGAGUGAAGAAGUAUUUCGGUAUGUAAAGCUCUGUCAGCAGGGAAGAAAGAAAUGACGGUACCUGACCAAGAAGCCCCGGCUAACUACGUGCCAGCAGCCGCGGUAAUACGUAGGGGGCAAGCGUUAUCCGGAAUUACUGGGUGUAAAGGGAGCGUAGACGGUUAAGUAAGUCUGGAGUGAAAGGCCGGGGCCCAACCCCGGGACUGCUCUGGAAACUAUUGAACUUGAGUGCAGGGGAGGUAAGCGGAAUUCCUAGUGUAGCGGUGGAAUGCGUAGAUAUUAGGAGGAACCCCAGUGGCGAAGGCGGCUUAAUGGACUGUAACUGACGUUGAGGCUCGAAAGCGUGGGGAGCAAACAGGAUUAGAUACCCUGGUAGUC
rnacentral:rRNA from 1 species